AUGGACCCGGCCCCGCAGCUCAAGGCCGAGCCCUGGCGCCCGCCGCACCGCGCCGGCGCGGCCGGCGGGCGCGCGGCGGGGGAGGCGUCCUCCGCCGUCACGGGCCAGAGCAGCGGCAGCCGCCCGCGGAGGAGGCAGCGGGAGCCUCCCGCCUCCGAGGACGACUCGGCCUCCGCCAGGCCCGUCUCCACCUCCGGCGGCGGCGGCCAGGAUUUGACUGAUGCAGAAGCAAAGCGUUUCAAGGCAAAUAAAUCCAGUGAUGAGAAUGGCAGUUUCAGAAAAGAUGCUGAAGCUGAUUCAAGAAAUGCUAGUAAGGCUGUUGAUCAAAAUCCUCCACCACCAAAGCAAGAUUUCAUCCAUGUGAGGGCAAGAAGGGGUCAAGCAACUGACAGCCAUAGCCUUGCAGAAAGGGCACGACGUGAGAAAAUAACCGAGCGGAUGAAAAUUCUCCAAGAUCUUGUCCCUGGAUGUAAUAAGGUUAUUGGCAAAGCAUCAGUCCUCGAUGAGAUAAUCAAUUAUGUCCAAGCUUUGGAACGUCAAAUUGAGUUCCUGUCCAUGAAGCUCGAGGCGGUUAAUGCCCAUGCCCAUGCUCACAACGGAGUUGAAACAUUUCCAACUAAAGACUUUGCUGCGCCAACGUACAACACAGCUCCAGGGUUAACAUUUGACCCACAAACACCAAGGGAGUACGCCCAGGGCUCGCCGGCUGCAGAAUGGCUUCACAUGCAGAUUGGUGGCACCUACGAAAGAGUGACAUGA
rnacentral:rRNA from 1 species